rnacentral:rRNA from 1 species
UGGGGAAUCUUGCACAAUGGGGGAAACCCUGAUGCAGCGACGCCGCGUGAGCGAUGAAGUCCUUCGGGGCGUAAAGCUCUUUCAGUGGGAACGAUAAUGACGGUACCCACAGAAGAAGCUGCGGCUAACUACGUGCCAGCAGCCGCGGUAAUACGGAGGUUCCAAGCGUUGUUCGGAAUUACUGGGCGUAAAGGGGGCGCAGGCGGUCAAGUCAGUCUAAAGUGGAAGCCCGGGGCUCAACCUCGGAAAGCCUUUAGAUACUGCUUGACUCGAGUACGUGAGAGGAAGGCGGAAUUCAAGGCGUAGCGGUGAAAUGCUUAGAUAUCUUGAGGAACACCAAUGGCGAAAGCAGCCUCUGGCACGAAACUGACGCUGAGGCCCGAAAGCGUGGGGAGCGAACAGGAUUAGAUACCCUGGUAGUCCACGCUGUAAACGAUGGGCACUAGGUGUCCGGGGUAUUGACCCCCUGGGUGCCGCAGCUAACGCAUUAAGUGCCCCGCCUGGGGAGUACGGUCGCAAGAUUA